AAACUCNAAGGAAUUGACGGGACCCGCACNAACCGNUGGAUGAUGUGGNAUAAUUCNNAUGCAACGCGAAAACCUUACCUACCCUUGACAUGGUUCGGAAUCCUGCAGAGAUGCGGGAGUGCUCGAAAGAGAACCGGCAACACAGGUGCUGCAUGGCUUGUCGUCAGCUCGUGUCGUGAGAUGUUGGGUUAAGUCCCGCAAACGAGCGCAACCCCUUGUCAUUAGUUGCUACGAAAAGGGGCACUCUAAAUGAGACUUGCCGGUGACAAAACCGGAGGAAGGUGGGGGAUGACGUCAAGUUCCUACAUGCCCCUUAUGGUUAGGGCUUUCAACAACUUAAUACAAUGGUCGGGUACAGAGGGGCUGCCAACCCGCAAGGGGGGAGCCAAUCCCUUAAAACCCGAUCGUAGUCCGGAUUGAGGUCUGCAACUCGACCUCAUGAAGUCGGAAAUCGCUAGUAAUCGCGGAUCAGCAUGUCGCGGUGAAUACGUUCCCGGGUCUUGUACACACCGCCCGUCACACCAUGGGAGCGGGUUUUACCAGAAGUAGCUAGCCUAACCGCAAGGAGGGCGGUUACCACGGUAGGAUUCGUGACUGGGGUGAAGUCGUAACAAGGUAACCGUAAAGACUGGAGAUCUG
rnacentral:rRNA from 1 species